rnacentral:lncRNA from 10 species
CCGCCCACCUUGGCCUCCCAAAGUGUUGGGAUUACAGGCACGAACCACUGCGCCCAGCCCAAAAUGUAAUUUCAUAUACAUCACAUUAUAAAUUUUUAGACUGCAUUUAUUUUUGUGUGAGUUUGGAUGUAGGGCAAUUCAAACUUUUAUAUACUACUAUUGGCAUACAAAUUAAUGUGAUUACAUUGUACAACAAUUUAACAUUAUCUAAUAAUGUUGAUCAUGUGCCAACCCUGUGACCCAGGAAUUCCAUUUCCAGAGACAUCUUAGCUCUUGCAUUUCUGGUGACAAGUACACAAUAAGCAAAGUAGCAUUGUCAAUUUAAAAAAAUCACAAUAGCAUUUAAAAUUUCAGAAAACUGAACAAAUUAAUGUUCACAAGAAGCAGAAAAAUAAAGUGUGAUUUACUCAUUCCUUGGAAUAGUGACACACAUAUCAGAUUGGAUUAUUCCGAGAACAGGACUUAGAGAGAGAGAGAAAAAAGCAAAUUAAAUCAAAGAGAACCAACAGGAUGAAAGAUUUACUCUAUUAGACAUCGAAACUUUAUAACAUACAGCAAUUCAGACACAUCUUGUUCUUGAAGAUGGAUAGUAUGCUGGAGUCACCUUGCCUCAGCUUCUGGCUACGAAGUCUCCCCUGAACUCCUCAUGAAGAUGGGCUUUACAAAUACAAACUAACCAAUUCCCAAACUCAUACUCUAUAGGGCUGUCACACUCCAGGCCACUGUGCUUCUGUCCUAAUCACGCUAGGGCCAAAAACCAGAGAACCAGAGACAGCUCUUAUGCCCCAGAGCCCACUGAAAUUAUUCAAAUGAGCCAGUCCUAAGCUUGUUUACCCUGCUUGGUUUCUUCCUGCAAACACCACAGUCUAGGGUCUUGCUCCUGAAUUCCUCCCUCUCUCUGUUUCCUGAUGGACCUGAGUUCUUCCCUGUAGUCUCCCCUGGUGUGACAUGCUCCCUUCUCUUGGAAAUUAUCCAUGAGGAGUCUCCACACUGUCUUCCACAAUGGUCGAACUAAUUUUCAUUCCCACCAACAGUGAUUCAAG